CAGCACCAUCUUCCAGUCCUGAGAGCACAGCUAGUAGAACCACAUCAGACUGCUACUCAUCACCCCACUCCUUAGUGGUCCAUGUGGCUGUUCGAGUUGCUACCACUAUCAGUCUGUUUGUGGCUGUGAUCAUAGUUGCAGUCAUUUACAGGAUGAGAUCAGGUGAUCCCCAGGGCAAACCAAACACCUCUGUGAGUAAAACACACAUCAGCAUUUCA